rnacentral:lncRNA from 1 species
UGCAGAGUUCAUUCACAGUAUUUCACUAUUUCUAUUUUUUUUUGCAUUUAUUAAACGUUUAUUGCAAACCUAAUAAUUUCCAUGAACUAUGCCAGGAUGGGAAUAUUAAAACAAAUAGAAUAAUCUCAUUCUGCUGAACAUUUUUUUAAAUUUUUACUGAAAUAUAGUUGAUUUACAGUGUUAUAUUACUUUCAGGUUAUUAUUUCUCCCCCUUUUCCCCCUUGAUAACCAUAAGUUUGUUUUCUGUGAUUCUUUCUGUUUUGUAAAUAAGUUCAUUUGUAUCUGUUUUUCUUAGAUUCCACACAUAAGUGAUAUGAUAUUUAUCUUUCUCCAUCUGGUUUAUUUCACUCUGUAUGAUAAUCUCUGGGUCCAUCCACAUUGCUGCAAAUGGCGCUAUUUUAUUCUUUUUCAUUGCUUAGUAAUAUUACAUAUAUAUACACACCCCCACAUCUUUAUCCAUUCAUCUGUCUUGGCUAUUGUAAAUAGUGCUGCUUUGAAUAUUGGGGCACAUAUAUCAUUUUGAAUUAUAGUCUUGUCUACAUAUAUGCCCAGGAGUGGGAUUGCAGGGUCAUAUGGUAGCUUCGUUUUUAGUUUUUUUAAGAAAACUCCAUGCUGUUCUCCACAGUGGCUACCAAUUUACACUCCCACCAAGAGUGUCGGAGGGUUCCCUUUUCUCCACACCCUCUCCAGCAUGUAUUAUUUAUAGGCUUUUAUUUUUGUCUUUUUAGAGCCACACCCACGACACAUGGAGGUUCCCAGGCAAGGGUCAAAUUGGAGCUGUAGCCACUGGCCUACGCCACAGCAAUGCAAAAUCCAAGCCACAUCUGCAACCUACACCAGAGCUCAUGGCAACUCCAGAUCCUUAACUCACUAAGCAAGGCCAGGGAUCGAACCUGUGUCCUCAUGGAUGCUAGUCAGAUUCAUUUUUGCUGAGCCGACAGGAACUCCUAGACUUUUUCAUGAUCACCAUUGUGACCAGUGUGAGGUAACACCUCAUUGUAGUUUUGAUUUGCAUUUCUCUAAUAAUUAGUGAUACUGAGCAUCUUUUCAUUUGCCUUUGGGCCAUCUGUCUGUCUUUGGAGAAAUGUCUUUUUAGAUCUUUGCCCAUUUUUUUUUUAUUGGAUUGUUUGUUUUUUGGAUACUGAACAGUAUGUAUACGCUGAUUCUGUAUACUGGAGAUUAAUCCCUUGUCAGUCACAUCACUUGCAAAUAUUUUCUCACAUUCUGAAGGCGUUUUGUUUUGUUUAUGGUUUUCUUUGCUGUGUAGAAGCUUUCCAAUUUAAUUAGAUCCCAUUUGUUUGUUUUUAUCUCAAUUAUUCUAGAGAUGGAUCCAAAAAGAUAUUAUUGCUGCCACUUAUAUCAAAGAGUAUUCUGCCUAUGUUUUCCUCUAGGAGUUUUAUAGUAUCAGGUUUUAAUCCAUUUUUUUUGCAGCAACAGAGACAUCCAUGGUUUAAUGAAUCUUACACGUGGAAGCAAGAUCCUGGAGCAACACCCCACCUUAUGUGGCUGACAGCAGAUAGGACAUAAUGGAAGUCUUCACUCCAUUUUGAGUUUAUUUUUGUGUAUAGUGUUAGAGAAUGUUCUAAUUUCAUGUUUUUACAUGUAGCUGUCUAGUUUUCCCAGCACCACAUAUUGAAGAGACUGUCUUUUCUCCAUUGUGUAUCCUUGCCUCCUUUGUCAUAGAUUAACCAUAGGUGUAUGGGUUAUUUCUGAGCUUUCUAUCCUGUUCCAUUGAUCUAUAUGUCUGUUUUUGUGCCAAUACCAGACUGUUUUGAUGGCUGUGGUUUUGUAGUACAGUUUGAAGUCAGGGAGCCCAUUCUUUCAACUCUGUUUUUCUUUUGCAGAAUUGCUUUGGUUAUUCAGGGUCUUUUGCAUUUCUAAACAAACUUUAAAAUUUUUUGUUCUGGUUCUAUGAAAAAUGCCAUUGGCAAUUUGAUAGGGAUUGCAUCAAAUCUGUAGAUUGUCUUGGGUAGUAUAGUCAUUUUGACAGUAUUUGGUUCUUCCAAUCCAAGAAUAUCAUAUAUCUUUGUAUUUGUAUGUGUCAUUUUUAAUUUCUUUCAUCAGUGUCUUAGUUUUCAGAGUAUGUCUUUUACCUCCUUAGAUAGGCUUCUUCCUAAGUAUUUUAUACUUUAUGACACAAUGGUAAAUGGGAUUGUUUCCUUAAUUUCUCUUUCUAAUCUUUCAUUGUUAUUAUAUAGAAAUGCAAGAGACAUUUCUGUGUAUUAAUUUUAUAUCCAGCAACUUUACCAAAUUCAUUGAUGAGUGCCAGUAGUUUUCUGGUAGCAUCUUUAGGAUUCUUCCUGAUUAAAGGAAGCCCUCAUAGAAGAGUGGGGGCAUAAAAUAGGGAAGAGAAGGAAACCAAUAUACAUGCACUAACAAACAAGUUACUGCCCUUGGCAACUUUGAAUCAAUCUCAGUAGCAGUCUUUCGGAGACUGUGGAAUACAACUCAGACUUUUCCACCUGAGGGGCUAGGAAGCUAGAGUAUUUAUUCUCCAACUCCCAUCCAUAAUUGGCUGAGGGCUGCUCUUCAUUUUGUUUUUUUUCCUGAGAGAGAGCCCUCACGUGGAGAGUUAAAGAAGUAGAAAUAAGACACAGUUGGCAAGUAUGGGAUGGUGAAUGCCAAGGGCUUAAGUUAUUGCACCAACAGAAUUUAUUUCAGGUAAGUCUCGACCACCCCAUGAAACAAGGGCUUGUAAGAAAUAUGUAGCCUGAGUUAUUUAAGGGGAAAGAAGUUACAUUUGUUAUAUACAGGAUUUUGUGAAUGAAAAUUUAUAUACCUUACAACUGCAUUCAUAGUUCAUUCUGAUAUAGGAAAAUCAAUUCAGAUUGUUGCUGUGUAUACAACACCAGAGCCAUGUGAAGGACUGGUCUGGAGAUGAGGAUUUGCAGUAUGGCUCCUAGUGAGCCUCGUUUUCUCCCUUGGUAAAAAAGCAAGCACUUAAUUCUAAGGAGUUUAAUUUCUGUUAAAAGUAUUAAACUUCUAGGCUAAGAGGAAUUAUAAAAUGACACCAUAAAAGUUGACAGAUCUCAAUUUACUGGUAAAGAAAUACAAAUGGCACAUAUCAGAACUGCAUUAGCCAAGACCCUAUAAUUACGGAUAUUUAAUAAAAUUAAUGUAAUGGCCAAUAAUCCAAAAUUUUAAAAGCACAUGUGAGAAUCAGAUAAAAUGGAAUAAGAGCAGAGUUCAUUUUAGAUUUUUAAGGAAAUUAUAGACUAAUGAUGUCUGCACCAAUCUUAUGACAAAACUCCCCCAGAGCUCAUAAACAUUCUGAACUGAAUCUGAAACUCUACACUAAACCAGAUAUAGAAUACUUUUAUCUUUAAGGGCACAACAACAAUUUUAUUUAUUUGAGAGGAAUAAGCACAAGGAGCUUCAAAAAAGACAGUAAUAUGGUAGAAUAGAAUUAAUAGAAGGCUUUAGUCAGAAGAUCUAGGUUUUAGUUUUAUCUUUAGCACUUAUGUGAAUAGGAAAACCUGAGGAAGUGUCUAAGCUCCACUGAGCCUAUUUCCUGAAAGUAAUAACAAUGACAACCUUCUAUCCACAUUAUUUGUUUUAUUUUUUAUUACUCUAAUGAAUUUAUCACAUCUGUAGUUGUAUAAUGAUCGUAACAAUCUGACUUCACAGGAUUUCCAUCCCACAGCCCAAGCACAUCCCCCCACUCCCCAAACUGUCUCCUCCAGAGACUAUAAGUUUUUCAAUGUCUGUGAGUCGGCAUCUGUUCUGCAAAGAAGUUCAGUCUGUCCACAUUAUUAACUGAGACAGUAUACAUGAAGUUCCCCUGUGGCUCAGCGGUAAUGAACCCGACUAGUAUCCAUGAAGUUGAGGGUUCAAUUCCUGACCUCACUCAGUGGGUUUAGGAUCCAGCAUUGCCAUGCGCUGUGGUGUAGUUUGCAGACGUGGCUUGGAUCUGGCGUUGCUUGAUAGGCUGUGGCAUAGGCUGGCAGCUGCAGCUCCAAUCUGACCCCUAGGUUGGGAACUUCUAUAUGCCACAAGUGCAACUCUAAAAAGAAAAAAAAAAAUUAGAUCCCUCCCCUCCC